UAUUCUGGUGAAUUUUUUUAACAUGUGCACAGAUACAUUUGACCAUCACCAUACUCGAGGAAGACAAGUGUUGGCAUCAAAGAGCCGUGCCCCACCCCACUCCUCAUCUGUACCAUGCAGUAUCUAGAAAUGUGAGGAGAGUCCUCCAGCCACCAUGAAUAUCUACACUUCAUCCUAUUGUGUGAGUGUGUUACAGUUUGAUUCACUAGUCACCUACUGAAAAUCAUUAGCUUAUUUCCAGGAUGUUUUUGCAAUUAUGGAAAGAUUUUUUGUAAAUAUGUCUAUUGUUUUUCUGUUUGGGGUUUGUUUUUGUUUUGGUUUUGGUUUUGGUAUGAGUGUAAAUGUUUGUUCCUCUGGGAGAAAUCCCAAAAGAUGUACUGGAUCCUAUGUUACAUUCAUUUCUUAUUUCUGUCAUUGCAAAUCAUCACAAACAUAGUGAGUUAGACAGUCCAGAUUUAUUAUCUUACCGUAAUGCAGGUCAGAAAACAGCACUGGGCUAAGUCCAAAGUAUCAGCAGGGCUGUGUUCCUUUCAGAAGGAUUUUGGAGAGAAUCUGUUCAGGUUAUUGGCAGACUUUAGUUCCCCGUGGAUGCAGAACUUGGCCGAUGGCCCCUCUCCUUUACCUUCACAGCUAGUGAUGGCCAAUCACGUUGGCCUCACAUCAUCUCACUCCCUCUACAUCUUCAUCUUCUCUGACCUUGCCUCCACCACCCUCUCACUGCUUACCUAGCCAGGCCAUGAUAAUGCAGCCUAGUCUCACUGUCUCCAAGCCCACACCUUAGACACAUCUACCCAGUUCCUGGGGCUUUUGUGUAUCAUAUUCUUAACAUCUAGAGAUUGUAGGUGAGUACUCUGUCCACCUAGCCUUUCAAGAAACCUCUAAGUUGUUUUGCUUUGUUUUGCUUUGUUUUGUUUUGUUGUUUCUUUUUGGAAUGUCUGUGACAUUUUCCAUUUUCACUGGAAGCAUCCCCAAGUUCCAGUUGCCCUGUGCACUUGUGAUCACUUGGCAUUGCCAGUACUUUUUAGCUUAUCGGUUCCCAUAGGUCCACACUGGUAGUUCCUGUGGUGUAAGCUUACGUUACCCUUGUGUCUCAAGGUGUUGAGCAACAUUUUAUCAGCUUAUCUUCUAUCUUCCCAUACUGUCUAUAAGAUGACUGUUCAAAUCUCCUGCCCAUUCUGCUCAUUGGGUUGCUCCUUCUUUCAGUUUUGAGUUCUAGGCCUUUCAUUCUAAAUAUAGAUCCUUUGUCAGUUAGGUCAGAAGAAUAUUCCUUAAUCCGAUCCCAAGUUUCCCAUCGUACCUGCAUUCUAGUUAAGCACAUCUAAUUUCCCUGGAUUGGGCUCGCUCUUCAUCAGAGAGUCACUGGACUAGGAUUUCUCCAUCAGAAUGUGUCAGAUCUGAAGAUGGCUGGGCCUGCUCUUUGUCAUAGCUAAGCUCAGACAUACCCAAGUACAAUUUGGUCCAUCCCUAUAGUCCUCUUUGAGAACAUAACUUUCACUCACUAUUUUAUAGAUGGAGUUUGAAGACCACAGGAUACUGAAGAGAAACACAGGGGUAGCUGAGAAGACUGGGAGGCUCCUGAGGACCAAAAUGGUAGAGGAGAGAGCCACCUUCUGCAAGCUGUCCUUCUCUGACCUCCACACAUGCACUGUGAAGCACAGACUCCAGCUCCAGGGAUCUGAUGUCAUCAUCUGGCCUCUGUAGACACCUGCACUUAUGUAGACAUAACAGAGAUCGAGCGAGCGAGAGAUUAUUAAAAAUAAUAAAAGUACAUCUUUAAAGAGAAAUACUAAUGGUAAGACAGAUGACAUCUGCGAUUUCCAUACCGAUGUCUAAUUCCAACACAGUUAGAUCCUGUGAUUAUAUCAACAGGGAUGUGGCAUCUGCCAAUGAACCACUAGGCCAAUCAAGUGAUAAAUCAAACAAAGGACAGUUGUGAAAUCACUGAGAAGUGAUUGCAAAGCAUGAAGAGAGAUUAUCCAUCCUGCUGAGUUACAUAGGUGUAGAGACCACACAUGAGAGUGAUAGGCUGUGAUUCCUGAGAUCUAAGGAGAGCGGCUCAUAACACAAAUGCAACAACUUAGCAGGGAGUGGAUAUUUUAUCGCAAGCUCUCUGGAAAGUCUCGUCUAUGUAUAAUAUAACAGCAAUCUGGGGACUCUCUUGAGAUUGACUUUCAAAUAUCUAAAGUUGACAGAAGCCAUCCCAGAGAACUUGGGAAUCAUAAUUUUACAUGCACCAAAAUCCUAGCAGGAAAUAGAAUCCACCACAGAUGGUCAGGAUGAAGAUACAUCUCAUAGGUAGGUUGAUGAUGGUUCCGAGAACCAGAUAUGGUGAUGUGCCCUCCUAAACUGUUCAUAGAAGAAGGUAGAAAGCCAUUUCUGCUUGCAGGACUGGAGGAUAUGGAUACAUAAGUCACCGGAAGCCACUGAAAACUGGGCUGUAGAGAAGAAGACGUCCUGCCAGACUUGUAGUGGUACAAAGAUUGAACUGCAAUCAGAAGAUGACAUCAAAGUAAGGGGCCAACAGAGGGACAUCCUGACUCUCUUUCUUUUCCUUCCUGUCUUCUUUGGAUGUUUCCCAAAAACACACAGCAGGAAAUCUCAGGUGUUCUGCUUCAUUCCAAGGCACAGUGUUGAUCCUCAGUGGGACUGAAGGUGUGGAACAGAGUAAGUAAUAAUCCAGAGACUUCUGACUCAUCAGCCAGAAGCCAUUGGCUGAGAACAUAAGUAUAAAUGAGCCAACUACCUAUUCGGUCCUUGGUGCAUAAUUACUGCACAUCGUCUAUGGACACCGGUGCUGCCUGUGGAUGAGAUGUGCCCAGUCUCUCAUCCUAAGAGAGCUUACGGCACAAGAGGCAGACAAGUAGGUGGA
rnacentral:lncRNA from 1 species